CAGCCGCCGCGGUAAUACGUAGGGGGCGAGCGUUUCCCGGAUUCACUGGGCGUAAAGGGGGUGUAGGCGGCUCGGUAAGUCGGGUGUGAAAUCCCACGGCUCAACCGUGGAAUUGCGCCCGAAACUGCCGAGCUUGGGGCCGGUAGAGGGAGACGGAACUGCCGGUGUAGGGGUGAAAUCCGUAGAUAUCGGCAGGAACGCCGGUGGGGAAGCCGGUCUCCUGGGCCGCGCCCGACGCUGAGGCCCGAAAGCUAGGGGAGCAAACCGGAUUAGAUACCCGGGUAGUCCUAGCCGUAAACGAUGCCCACUAGGUGUGGGGGAGUAUUUCCUCCGUGCUGUAGCUAACGCGUUAAGUGGGCCGCCUGGGGAGUACGCCCGCAAGGGUGAAACUUAAAGGAAUUGGCGGG
rnacentral:rRNA from 1 species